UGAGUUUGAUCCUGGCUCAGAGUGAAGGCUAUAAGUCUGCUUGAAUACAUGCGAGUCGAAUGGUUAAAACCAUGGCGUACGGGUGAGUAAUGGGCUAAUAUCUACCUUCAACUUCGGAAUAAUCCCAUCCCUCCGGGGAGAAGGUAACAGGAAAAUACCGAAUAUUUAAAAGGUACGCCGGUUGAAGAUGAUUAGGCUUAGUAUUAGGUAGUUGGUAAGAUAAAGCUUACCAAGCCUUUGAUGCUUAGUUGGUCUGGUAGGACGAUCAAUCACACUGGGACUGAGACAAGGCCCAGGUUUCAUUUGAAGGCAGCAGUAAGGAAUAUUGCACAAUGAGCGAAAGCUUGAUGCAGCAAGACUUGGUGAGGGAUAGAAGGCUUAGGUUGUAAACCUCUUUUUUAACUGAGGAUAAUGACAUUAGGUUAAGAAUAAGUCCCGACUAACUUCGUGCCAGCAGUCGCGGUAAUACGGAGGGGGCAAGCCUUAUUCGUCAUAACUGGGCGUAAAGGGCCCGUAGGUGGCUUUCUGGUCGGUUAUUUGUUAAAGACUAUAGCUUAACUAUAGAAAAGCACUUAAAACAUGAAAGCUAGAGUCUGACAGAGGGAAAUGGAAUUUUUCAAUUAGGGUUAAACUCCAGAGAAGUGGAAGAGAACAUCAGCUGCGAAGGCGAAUUCCUUGUUCAGUACUGACGCUGAGGGGCGAAGGCGUAGGUAGCGAACAGGAUUUGAGACCCUGGUAGUCUACGCUGUCAACGAUGAGUGCUAGUUUUUAGAAAUCUAGAAAGUACAGCUAAGGCAUUAAGCACUCCGCCUGAGGAGUACGAGCGCAAGCUUAAAAAUCAACGGAAUUGGCGGGGGUUCAAACAAGUGGUGGAGCAUGUGGUUUAAUGCGAUAAUACGCGCGUAACCUUACCAGUUCUAGUAAAUCUGUCAUUCUUGCGGAGACGUAAUGAACUUUGGGAUUUUCAGGUGUNAGGUGUUGCAUGGCUGUCGUCAGCUCGUGUCGUGAGAUGUACGGUUAAUUCCUGUAACUGAGCGCAACCCUUAUCCUUUUUUUGUUUUUAUUUCAAUAAAAAAUAAAAACUUACAAGAGACGGCCAGCCAUAAGCGGGAGGAAGGCAGGGAUGAGGUCAAGUCCUCAUGGCCCUAAUGAACUGGGCUACACACGUGCU
rnacentral:rRNA from 1 species